ensembl:snoRNA SNORA63 Small nucleolar RNA SNORA63
GUACUGGCACAGUUACAAUGUAACUGAAGUGUCCUAUUGUCCAUCCCCCAUUUGAUACAUUACUAUCUCUGCCUAUCUCUAUAUAAUGGUAAGGCAGAGACCCUUGGUUUCAUUUUU